AUGAUCAUGCUCAGGUUUCUUGCCCAAGGAACCCUGAUAGCUUUGUCGUGCCUUCUCUUCUCGAUUCCACCAGCAGCCACAGCUUCCAUUCGUCCACCACCACCACCGCCGCCGCCAUCGGUGUCGAACGGGAGCUGCAUCGCGUAUGAGAGGGCCGCACUCCUCUCUAUCAGGGCGAGCCUCUGGAAUCCUAAUUUUGACUUCUCGUCAUGGCAAGGUGAAGACUGCUGCACAUGGAAGGGCGUCAGGUGCAGCUACAGAACCGGCCAUGUCGUCAAGCUCAACCUUCGGGGAAAGAGCAACUGUUACCCAGUCGAUGAAAACAGAGGUGAGAUAAGCCACUCCUUGGUCAGUUUGCAACAGUUGAGAUAUCUAGACAUGAGUUGCAAUAACUUCAACGGUGCCAAGAUACCCGAGUUCAUCGGUUCUUUGCCGAGCCUCAGAUAUCUCAACCUUUCAUACAACUGGUUCUACGGAAGAGUGCCGCCCCAGAUCGGGAACCUCUCCAAGCUUACCUACCUUGACCUCAAGCCCUCCGACUCGUUCAGUCUUGAGUUAUACUCAGGUGAUGUUCACUGGCUAUCACACUUGUCAUCACUGAAACACCUCGACUUGAGCCAUAUGAACCUUACCGCUGCAGUGGAUUGGGUCCAUCAAGUCAACAUGCUUCCCGCUCUUAGAAAGCUAUACCUCCAAUACACUGGCAUAAGAAAUAGGGUUGCUUUCCUUGGUCAGUCCAACCUCACGGCACUUGAGGUGCUUGAUAUCUCAGGGAACAAUUUCAGCACCACCAUUUCUCCCAACUGGUUUUGGAACACAACCAGCCUCACUUAUCUAAACUUGAAAGGUUGCAACUUUCGGGGCCCUAUUCCAGAUAGCAUAGGCAACAUGACCUCUCUUGAACAAGUUUAUUUCCAACGGAAUAAUCUUAUGGCCACCAUGAUACCGUACGGUUUCAGGAAUCUUUGCAGCUUGAAAAUACUAGAUCUUGAGCAGAGCAACACCUCGGGGGAUAUCACAGAGUUGAUGGAGCGGUUACCAAACUGUCCUUCCAACAUGUUGCAAAUUCUUGACUUCUCUUAUAACAAUAUUAGUGGGGCUUUGCCAAAUUGGCCAGGGCCGCUUACCAACCUAACAUAUUUGGUCCUCUCUGGUACUAACAUCACUGGACCUAUACCAGAAUGGAUAGGGGCACUCACCGAAUUGGUUAGUUUGGAGCUAGGUGGAAACAGACUAAAUGGUAUAGUUACUGAAUAUCAUCUAAAAGGCCUUAAAGAUUUGAAGUUCUUGGGGUUGCACAACACAGACCUUCAGAUAAAGGUCAGUCCGAAUUGGAUUCCUCCAUUCAAGCUACAAGCAAUUUUCUUAGCAUCUUUGCAGCUAGGACCGGCAUUCCCGCCAUGGCUUAGAUCACAGACAGGCCUUCAGCUCCUACAUAUGUCAAAUGCAAGCAUAACUGCAAUCCCAGCUUGGUUUUGGGUUGCAUUUUCAAGGACAAACUUCAUAGAUUUGUCAGAUAAUGAGAUAACCGGCACACUUCCAGCAACCUUGGAAUUUAUGAGUACACAAAAAAUGGUACUGUCCAAUAAUAGAUUGAUAGGUAUGGUGCCAAAAUUUCCAAGAAAUACCGAAUACAUGGACUUAUCAGGAAACUCUUUCUCUGGGACAUUGCCGUCAGAUUUUGCAGCCCCUUUAUUGGAGGAGCUUAUUCUUUAUAACAAUUCAAUAUCAGGCACCAUUCCAUCUUCAAUAUGCUCAUUGUCACAGUUGGUUGUGCUAGACCUAUCAGGAAACAAGCUUACAGGAGAAGUUCCAACUUGUGAAGAGGAUUCUAACUCGCAGAUGAGUAGUCUUCAUGUGGUAAAUUUAAAUACCAACAACCUCUCAGGAGAUUUCCCAAAAGUUCUUAGAAACUGCCAGUACCUUGUUUUUAUUGAUCUGUCUUAUAACAAAUUCUCCGGAGACCUACCCACAUGGAUGGGUGUGAACUUUCCGUACUUGGCACUCCUACGUCUGCGGUACAAUAUGUUUUCUGGAAAAAUUCCCGUAGAAAUUGGAAUGCUUCAAAGGCUGCAGUUUUUAGAUCUUGCACACAACAAGUUCUCAGGAAGCAUGCCAGACUCAUUAGUUAAGAUCAGCGCAAUGGCCCAAAGUUCUGGAUACAGUUAUGCUCUUUAUCAAGCGCUCUUGAGUGGCCAAGGGCUCCAGAUAUAUAACUCAGUAUAUGAUGGUGUUUAUUCCAUGGACAAAGUAUCAGUUCUUACUAAAGGGCAACAACUAGAAUUUUCUCUGCAAAUAUCUUACAUGGUGAUUCUUGAUUUAUCAAGCAACAGUCUAACCGGAGUGAUUCCUCGAGAUAUUGGUUGUCUCAUUGGAUUAAGAGGCCUGAACUUUUCAUGGAACAACUUAAGUGGGGAAAUCCCUAAGAAAAUUGGUGAGCUCAAGCAAUUGGAAUCACUUGACUUGUCAAACAAUGAGCUUUCCGGUGGAAUCCCUUCAAGCAUGGAAACCAUGACCUCUUUAAGCCAUAUGAACCUAUCGUACAACACUCUAUCCGGAAAGAUACCAUUAGGAAAUCAGCUCGGAACUUUCGACGCAUCUGCUUACAUUGGAAACAUUGGUCUGUGUGGUUUCCCCUUGACUCCCAGUUGUCUUGGAAACAGGUCAGGUCAACCAAGAUACAAAGAUGAUGGGGAUGGAUUGGAGGACAUAUCCCUUUACCUUGGUUUAACAGUUGGUUUUGCCUUUGGCUUCGGGGUGGUCUUUUGUGUGAUGUUGUUCAAAAAGAGAUGGAGAAUUUCUUAUUUCAUGUUUGUUGAAGGGCUGCAGGACAAGAUUUAUGUGGUCGUUGUACUAAAAUGGGCUAAUUUGAAAGAAAAUUAG
rnacentral:rRNA from 1 species